rnacentral:rRNA from 1 species
GACGAACGCUGGCGGCGUGCUUAACACAUGCAAGUCGAACGGUGAAGCGCCUUCCUUUUUGGUGGGUGUGGAUGAGUGGCGAACGGGUGAGUAACACGUGAGUAACCUGCCCCCUUCUUCUGGAUAACCGCAUGAAAGUGUGGCUAAUACGGGAUAUUCUGGGUCUGUCGCAUGAUGGGUCUGGGAAAGAUAUUGUUUCGGUGGGGGAUGGGCUCGCGGCCUAUCAGCUUGUUGGUGGGGUGAUGGCCUACCAAGGCGGUGACGGGUAGCCGGCCUGAGAGGGUGGACGGUCACACUGGGACUGAGACACGGCCAAGACUCCUACGGGAGGCAGCAGGGGGGAAUAUUGCACAAUGGGCGCAAGCCUGAUGCAGCGACGCCGCGUGAGGGAUGGAGGCCUUCGGGUUGUGAACCUCUUUCGCCAGUGAAGCAGGCCUGCCUCGUUUGUGGGUGGGUUGACGGUAGCUGGAUAAGAAGCGCCGGCUAACUACGUG